rnacentral:rRNA from 1 species
GCCCAGAAGCGGGGGAUAACACCUGGAAACAGAUGCUAAUACCGCAUAACAACUUGGACCGCAUGGUCCGAGUUUGAAAGAUGGCUUCGGCUAUCACUUUUGGAUGGUCCCGCGGCGUAUUAGCUAGAUGGUGGGGUAACGGCUCACCAUGGCAAUGAUACGUAGCCGACCUGAGAGGGUAAUCGGCCACAUUGGGACUGAGACACGGCCCAAACUCCUACGGGAGGCAGCAGUAGGGAAUCUUCCACAAUGGACGAAAGUCUGAUGGAGCAACGCCGCGUGAGUGAAGAAGGGUUUCGGCUCGUAAAACUCUGUUGUUAAAGAAGAACAUAUCUGAGAGUAACUGUUCAGGUAUUGACGGUAUUUAACCAGAAAGCCACGGCUAACUACGUGCCAGCAGCCGCGGUAAUACGUAGGUGGCAAGCGUUGUCCGGAUUUAUUGGGCGUAAAGCGAGCGCAGGCGGUUUUUUAAGUCUGAUGUGAAAGCCUUCGGCUCAACCGAAGAAGUGCAUCGGAAACU